UGGGGAAUUUUGGACAAUGGGCGAAAGCCUGAUCCAGCAAUGCCGCGUGUGUGAAGAAGGCCUUCGGGUUGUAAAGCACUUUUGUCCGGAAAGAAAUCCUUGGCUCUAAUACAGUCGGGGGAUGACGGUACCGGAAGAAUAAGCACCGGCUAACUACGUGCCAGCAGCCGCGGUAAUACGUAGGGUGCAAGCAUUAAUCGGAGUUACUGGGCGUAAAGCGUGCGCAGGCGGUUUGCUAAGACCGAUGUGAAAUCCCCGGGCUCAACCUGGGAACUGCAUUGGUGACUGGCAGGCUAGAGUAUGGCAGAGGGGGGUAGAAUUCCACGUGUAGCAGUGAAAUGCGUAGAGAUGUGGAGGAAUACCGAUGGCGAAGGCAGCCCCCUGGGCCAAUACUGACGCUCAUGCACGAAAGCGUGGGGAGCAAAACAGGAUUAGAUACCCUGGUAGUCCACGCCCUAAAACGAUGUCAACUAGUUGUUGGGGAUUCAUUUCCUUAGUAACGUAGCUAACGCGUGAAGUUGACCGCCUGGGGAGUACGGUCGCAAGAUUAAAACUCAAAUGAAUUGACGGGGUCAUAGCUGUUUCCU
rnacentral:rRNA from 1 species